AAAUGGCUCGCGCACAAAAUUUAAAAGCUGCAAUCAUAUUUUGAGUUAACAGAUAGAAAAUGUGUCGGGUUUUUAAUUACUGUACAAAAUUUCAUUUCCUAAAAAUCAGCUAUUUGCAUGCUUAAUUAAUGCUUUGCCUAAUUUGCAUAUGUCAGCAAUAUGCAAAUUAGGUAAAGGCAUUAAUUAAGCAUGCGAAAGGCUGACUUUUUAGAACAAAAUGAAUAGUUAAAGGGCUUAAACUACACCAAAUUGUCUGAAAUUUUGUACAGUAAUUAAAAACCCGACAAAUUUUCAAUCUGUUAGCUCAAAAUAUGAUUACAGCUUUUAAAUUUUGUGCGCGAGCCAUUUUUAGUUUGUUGGAAAAGACACACCCCCUGGUUCACAAAAUUUGAGUUCGAGAAAUUUUUUUCAUUAUUUUACAUUAUAAGUACCCAAAGAAGC